UUCUUCCUCCCCGCUCCAAUUUCCUCCUCCCCUGUUUCUGUACAGAGGACGGCCCCCUCGUCGAUCUCCGGCGUUUGGCCACCACAGUUCGAUUGGCUCGAAAGUGAGCACCUCCAGACCUUACUCUACCAUCCCCAACCCGCGGCUCUUCCUUUCCCGGUCACCAGCGAGCUCCCCACGAACUCCCAUGGCCGCAGCAAUGGCUGCUCGGUGCGGACCACCUUCCACGCCCUCUCCCAUGCCCGGAGUCCCCAAAACUGAACUCCGUCGCCCUCCUCUCUCUCCCCGUUCUCUCAGAUUUCGAAACGGUGGACUAUAGCUCGAUCCCCGCGAAGCUCCGGCGAGUUGCCACCGUGGGUGCUGGCGGCGCCACCCGGGGACGUCGUCCUGCCUCUGCGCCUCUUUCCCGUGAGCAGAUGAGUCAUGGGCUUUGCGGGUCCUGCAGAUCACUACCGGCCCAAGAAAAACAAUAGCCCAACCACAUGAGCCACGUCCAUUAAGCUCGUGAAGCUCCCCUCCAUUUAUGUUAUAUCAUUUUCGGAAUUUAAUUAGAAGCCUCCAAUUACAAAGCCAUAUCUCACCUAUCUAAGCUCCAAAUCAAUUGAUUCUUUUUCCUCUAUUCCUAUAAAAUCAUAUACUAUCCAUUCCUCCUAUUUUCAUCUUCUUUUGAGCUCAUUUUGUGUUGUACUUGAUUGUGUUUGUUUGUCGUUUGCGUUGUAAUUGCUGUAGCCGACGGAGUGAUUGAGGAGGAGGACGAGUUUAGAGGCCAGCGCUGCGAUCUUGUGUACGAAGGCUAGGAUCGCGAGCCGGAGCUAGAAGCCCUGUACCAUGAUCAGGAACAGCCUGAAGGAUUUAAAGACGCGAUUGAUCUAGGCUUCAUUGAGCGUCGGAUCGAUGAUAUUCUUGGUCUCGAGACCUCCACGGAGUACAAGGCCAUCAAGCAGAAACUAGGCGGGACACGCACAAACCGUGUGUUCCUUGCGUUCGGCGUCACAGCCCCCCAGCGCAUCGCUGCGAUGAAGCACAAGGAAGCUGAAGAUAAAGAGAAAGGUAAACAGCUUAUCAAAGCCACGAAGGCAUCCGAGGGCGGUGGUAGCAGCUAUGCUACCGCGAGCCUUGAACAAAAGAAAAGAAAACACAAGACGAAGGGCGCCAGUGGGCACAAGCACUCCCAUCUCAUUGACACAGUGCCCUCAGGUCCUCCCCCGCUUCAAGACAAGGGGGACUCCGAAGAUGCUAUGGAAGCCAGCCCCAUCGCGGCGGCUCCCAUGUCGAUGGCGCUGCCUCACCCUUCGGUCUAUUUGGUGAUCCGGGACCCCGAAUCUUGAUCUUAGUGAUCAAGAGAUGGAGAGCGAUGAAGAAGAUGAAAAAAUAGAGGAGAUUGUUGUUGAUGAUGUGCCAAUUCAAUGCGCUCGACAUCGCGAGGAGAUUGUCCUGAGUUCUAGCGGGGCCACUUCUAGCUCCUCCGGCUCUAGCUCGUCAUCCUCGUCCGAGAGCAGCGAAGAGGAGGAUGCUCCAGCUGAUGACGAAGCGCCCCCUGAACGAGCGGCCCCUGCCAACAAGGUUCUGGGCGGAAACAAUGAAGCUGAAGGGAGCUUGCGCCUGACCGAUAGCGACGGUUACUUUGAGAGCCCCAAAGACCCCACUGCCAUUGUUGCUGAACUAAAUGCAUUCGAAGCCAAACUCAUCGGGGCGACAGAUUAUUGGCAGCCUUCGCUUCAAGAGCACGACCGAGAACAUGGAUUCUUGCGUGAGGCUGGUGAGUGUUUCUGUUUCCCGUUAAUGGAAAAGGAAUUGAUGAAGUCUGGCAUGGCCAACAUGCUUCGCUGCAUUGAGGAUUUGUCAUUGAAGGCAUUUGUCGCUACUCGUUGUGCCAACCACCAACUCCAAGCCGAAGCUCUGCCUCCUCUCACUUGUCAGAGUUGGAGGAAAAAAUUGCUAUGCUGGAACGAGAAAAGCUGGAGCUCCAGAAGGCCCUCAAAGCCGAGCAAAGCCAGCACACCGCUGCGUGCACCGAGGCUGAAACCGAAGUUGAAAUAAACAAGAAUCUCACAAAUCAACUUGCUGAAGUGCAGGUUCGAUUUGAGACAGCCGAAGCUCGAGCCACUAAGGCAGAAGAGAAGCGUCGAGUCUCGUGCAAAAAUUUCAAGGUUUAUCACGCAACUCUUUCCGUCGGCAUGGCUCAAUUGCAGGAGGAGGGCCCCCGUCUUUUGUCCGCCUAUGGCUUGAUCGCUCCGGAGCUUGCUGGUCCUGAGGACUUGGAAAUCCAACAAUUUUUCAAAUGGCUACGGGCAUGUCUUGCUAUGGUGGACUCCGGGAGCUACCUCUAUGGGGAUCUGUGUGCCAUUGUCGCGACCUGAAGCUGGUGUUUCUUAGGGUAUUCUCAAGGCUCAUCUUCAUGCACUGCGCGACCGUACCUUCGAGUGGCCUUCGGAAGAAGCCGUCCAGAUAGGGAACUUGCUCCCCCUUCCUGAAAAUAUUGCCAAGAACUUAUCGAAUCAUUUUUUCAAGGGGUAAUGCUCUUGUUUGCUACGAAGGUGAUCGACUGAAGGAGCAGCGGAGUCCUACGCCAAGGAGUUUCUUUGUACUGCUUCGACUGCGGGCCCUUCUUCACAAGCUGCUGCUACUGCUUCGGAGGCUGCAGUUGAGAUGCUUAUACCUGUACACCCUUCGUCUACGCAGAGUGGUGUUGAUGGUUCAGAUGCUCAAGCUAACCCUUCGGGUGUUGAAAGAGCGGAAACUGGAGAGGACCCUACGACGGAACCUGCGUGGGUCACCGAAGAUAUAUUGCUUGUGACAAUGAAUCACGAUGAUUUCUUCGUAACUAGGCAAGCCUGGGCGAAGUUUCACUCAGUGUUCCCUUCGUGACUUUUGAUGAAUUCUGAGCCCUUAAGCUCCAUACAUAUGAAAAAUGCAAUGUUGCUGCGAAGGAAAUUUUUGCUGAGUUCGAGCGUGAUCUUGCUGCUCACGCUAAGCUUGCCUGAAGGGCUUAAGGAGCCAACAUCGGAGCCUGUGGAAAAUGAAUGCGGUCCUUUGGAGUAUAUGUACCACGUUAGAACGUGACCGAAGAGAAGAAACCAUUAUCUCUCCUGUCCCGCACAAUCUUCGGCUGCAGGGAUGCCGUCCGACAAUAGCCUUCGUCGCAUGGCCGAAGAUAUCAUCCGUGUUGCCGUUCAAGAGUUGAUAGAUGAAAUUGAUCAUGUUGUAUUUGAUGAAGAACAGUGAUGUUUUCAGAUUAUUUGUUGUAUUUUAUGAAA